GUCUGCGGCGGAUUAGGUUGUUGGCGGGGUAACGGCCCACCAAGCCCAUGAUCCGUGCCGGCCAUGUGAGUGGGAGCCGGAAGAUGGAUACUGAGACAAAGAUCCAGGUUCUACGGAACGCAGCAGUUGCGAAAUCUCCGCAAUGCGCGCAAGCGUGACGGGGGGACUCCAAGUGCCAACCUACUAGGUUGGCUUUUGUGAAGUGUAAAUAGCUUCACGAAUAAGGGCUGGGCAAGACUGGUGCCAGCCUCCGCGGUAAAACCAGCAGCUCUAGUGGUGGUCGGUCUUAUUGGGCUUAAAGCGUCCGUAGUCGGUCUAUUAAGUUUUUUGUGAAAUCCUGAGGCUUAACUUCAGGGCUCGCAGAAAAUACUGUUAGGCUUGAGGCCGGGAGGGGCCAGAGGUAUUCCUGGGGUAGCGGUGAAAUGCUAUAAUCCUAGGAAGACCACCGGUGGCGAAGGCGUUUGGCUUGAACGGGCCUGACGAUGAGGGACGAGAGCUAGGGGAGCAAACCGGAUUAGAUACCCGGGUAGUCCUAGCCGUAAACGAUGCGAGCUGAGUGUU
rnacentral:rRNA from 1 species